rnacentral:rRNA from 1 species
UACGGAGGGNGCGAGCGUUNAUCGGAAUUACUGGGCGUAAAGCGCACGCAGGCGGUUUGNUAAGCUAGANGUGAAAGCCCCGGGCUCAACCUGGGANGNNCAUUUAGAACUGGCAGACUAGAGUNUUGGAGAGGGGAGUGGAAUUCCAGGUGUAGCGGUGAAAUNCGUAGAUAUCUGGAGGAACAUCAGUGGCGAAGGCGACUCCCCGGCCAAAGACUGACGCUGANGUGCGAAAGUGUGGGUAGCNAACAGG